rnacentral:rRNA from 1 species
GUGGGGAAUAUUGCACAAUGGGCGCAAGCCUGAUGCAGCCAUGCCGCGUGUAUGAAGAAGGCCUUCGGGUUGUAAAGUACUUUCAGCGGGGAGGAAGGCGGUGAGGUUAAUAACCUCGCCGAUUGACGUUACCCGCAGAAGAAGCACCGGCUAACUCCGUGCCAGCAGCCGCGGUAAUACGGAGGGUGCAAGCGUUAAUCGGAAUUACUGGGCGUAAAGCGCACGCAGGCGGUCUGUUAAGUCAGAUGUGAAAUCCCCGGGCUUAACCUGGGAACUGCAUUUGAAACUGGCAGGCUUGAGUCUCGUAGAGGGGGGUAGAAUUCCAGGUGUAGCGGUGAAAUGCGUAGAGAUCUGGAGGAAUACCGGUGGCGAAGGCGGCCCCCUGGACGAAGACUGACGCUCAGGUGCGAAAGCGUGGGGAGCAA